GGCAAUCUCGGUGGUUGGGAUGGGAGGACUGGGGAAAACGACCUUGGUAAAGCAAGUGUACGAGGAUGCAAGAGUUCAGAAACGUUUUAAGGUACAUGCUUGGAUCACUGUUUCUCAACCAUUCAAGAUAAAGCGGCUCCUAAGACACGUAGUUCAGAAAAUCUUCCAAGUUAUCAGGAAACCAGUCCCUGAAGAAGUUGAUAGUAUGAACACCGACCAGCUAAGAGAGAGAAUCAAAAAAUUACUGCAGCAGACCAGGUACCUGAUUGUUCUAGAUGACCUUUGGAACAACGAUGUGUGGGAUGCCAUCAAUCAUGCACUGCCCCACAACGGUAAUGGUAGUCGUGUAAUGAUCACUACCCGUAAUGCUGCUGUAGCCUCUGCCUCUAGCAUGGAAAACCACGGUAUGGU
rnacentral:lncRNA from 1 species